rnacentral:rRNA from 1 species
AUGUCUGGACUUAAAGUGAACUAUCAGAAGAGUGAGAUUUUCACUGUGGGAGGCGAUGAGAGCAUGCUGAAAUACUAUGCUGAGUUGUUUAACUGUGAUGUGGGUAACUUCCCCAUCAAAUACCUCGGUAUGCCUGUUAGUUAUUCCACCCUUAGAGAUUCUGACUGGGAGUUCAUAGUGGCCAAAUACCUUAAAAGAUUCGAGGCCUGGAUCGGUAAUGCUGCAUCCAUGGGGGGCAGACUGACUCUGUUGGAUUCAGUUGUCACCCAAAUAUCCUUGUAUCAUAUGUCUAUGUGGCUUAUGACCAAAACUUUCAUUGAAAAGCUUGAUAAACAUAGAAGGAAGUUUUUCUGGCAAAGGUUGUAA